rnacentral:rRNA from 1 species
UCCCGGUUGAUCCUGCCAGAGGUCACUGCUAUCGGGGCUCGAUUAAGCCAUGCGAGUCGAGAGGGUUCGGCCCUCGGCGUACUGCUCAGUAACACGUGGAUAACCUGCCCUAGGGAAGGGGAUAACCCCGGGAAACUGGGGAUAAUACCCUAUAGAUUACAGAUGCUGGAAUGCCCUGUAAUCCAAAGUUCCGACGCCCUAGGAUGGAUCUGCGGCCGAUUAGGUUGUUGUUGGGGUAAUGGCCCAACAAGCCCGUAAUCGGUACGGGUUGUGGGAGCAAGAGCCCGAAGUUGGAUUCUGAGACACGAAUCCAGGCCCUACGGGGCGCAGCAGGCGCGAAAACUUUACAAUGCGGGCAACCGUGAUAAGGGAACCUCGAGUGCCUGUAAAUGCAGGCUGUUCAGGUGCCUAAAACACACCUGAAGA